UGUAUCUCAGAAUUCUGACUUGUAUCUCAGAAUUCUGACUUGUAUCUCAGAAUUCUGACUUGUAUCUCAGAAUUGUGACUUGUAAGUGACUUGUGUGUGCCAGUCUUCACUUACCUACACAGUAGUUUAAUGGAGUGAGAUCGUCAGAACACAACUACUCCUCUGGCUAAUACAUUAGAAAGACUUGCUGUAGCAUUAAGGUUUUUUGUUACGGGAGACACGUUCCGGACAAUUGCGUUUAGCUACCGACUUGGAGAAACAACAGUUCGAAAUAUCGUGUAUGGAACCUGUGAGGCUAUAUGGCAAAAAGGGACACCAUUGGUGAUGCCUACUCCUUCAGAAGAAACUUGGCUGAGAAAUGAACGGGAUUUUCAAAGAAUUUGGAAUUUUCCAAACUGAGUUGCUGCCAUUGAUGGGAAGCACGUCGUUACUGAUAAACCUCCAAAUAGUGGAUCACUGUAUUUCAACUACAAAAAAACCUUCAGUAUUGUUUUACUUGAAUUUGUAGAUGCUCAUUGCUGAUUCACUGCCGUUGAUGUAGUAAGAAAUAGCGAUGGAGAAAUAUUUGCAAAUUCGGCCAUUGGAAAGAAGUUGCACAAGAAUAUUCUGAAUAUACCUCCAGACAAGUUUUUACCUGGCACUAAUGAAAUCUUGCCAUAUGUUUUUGACGAAGAUGAGGCUUUUCCUUGACACAAACAUUUAAUGCGCCCUUAUCCUGAUAGCGCAAUACUGAAUAACAAGGAAAUUAAAAUAUACAACUACAGACUUAGUAGAGCUAGACGAACUUCAGAAAAUUGUUUCGGAAUUUUACCAAAGAGAUUUCGUAUUCAUCAGAGACACCUGCAAAUUAUCCCUAAACACCUUGAUAAAGUUGUUCUUGCUACAUGUUUACACAAUUUUGUCCGAAAUGAUACAUGUCAUCGGACCGACGCUGCCGACGAUAGUCAAGCCCCACAAGGGUUAAGGGAUAUAUCAGGCAUAGGAGAAAAAUGCAAAAGAAAUAUUUGACUUUAAGACAUAGUGAUACACAAUUUUUUGUAUUCUCUGAGAAAAAAAUAAAUGAACUAUUAUCGAGAGUGUAUUCCAAUCUAGCGGACUCAUUAUAUAAAUAAAUCAAAAUAUACAGAUAUUUACCUGA